UUCCAGACUCCUACGGGAGGCAGCAGUGGGGGAUAUUGGACAAUGGGGGGAACCCUGAUCCAGCGACGCCGCGUGAGUGAAGAAGUAUUUCGGUAUGUAAAGCUCUGUCAGCAGGGAAGAAAGAAAUGACGGUACCUGACCAAGAAGCCCCGGCUAACUACGUGCCAGCAGCCGCGGUAAUACGUAGGGGGCAAGCGUUAUCCGGAAUUACUGGGUGUAAAGGGAGCGUAGACGGUUAAGUAAGUCUGGAGGAAAAGGCCGGGCCCAACCCCGGGACUGCUCUGGAAACUGUGCAGCUCGAGUGCAGGAGAGGUAAGCGGAAUUCCUAGUGUAGCGGUGAAAUGCGUAGAUAUUAGGAGGAACACCAGUGGCGAAGGCGGCUUACUGGACUGUAACUGACGUUGAGGCUCGAAAGCGUGGGGAGCAAACAGGAUUAGAUACCCCCCGUA
rnacentral:rRNA from 1 species